rnacentral:tRNA from 1 species
GCCUGGCUGGCUCAGUUGGUAGAGCAUGUGACUUUUGAUCUUGGGGUUGUGAGUUCAAGCCCCAUAUUGGGCA